rnacentral:rRNA from 1 species
UGCCUUAGUAACUGCGAGUGAAGCGGCAAAAGCUCAAAUUUGAAAUCUGGCGUCUUCGACGUCCGAGUUGUAAUUUGGAGGGGCAUCUUCGGAAUUGGCGCCGUCCUAAGUUCCUUGGAACAGGACGUCAUAGAGGGUGAGAAUCCCGUGCCUGGAUGGCUGUCCAAUUCCAUGUGAAGUGUCUCCGACGAGUCGAGUUGUUUGGGAAUGCAGCUCAAAAUGGGUGGUAAAUUUCAUCUAAAGCUAAAUAUUGGCGAGAGACCGAUAGCGCACAAGUAGAGUGAUCGAAAGAUGAAAAGCACUUUGAAAAGAGAGUUAAAAAGUACGUGAAAUUGUUGAAAGGGAAGCGCUUGAGACCAGACUCAAUCUUAGGUGAUCAGCCGUGCUUCUGUACGGUGCACUUGCCUUUGAUUGGGCCAGCAUCAGUUCUGACGGCGGGAUAAAAUGCGGAGGAAUGUGGCUCUCUUCGGGGAGUGUUAUAGCCUCUGUAACAAUGCCGCCAGUUGGGACUGAGGACCGCGCUUCGGCUAGGAUGCUGGCGUAAUGGUCUUAAGCGACCCGUCUUGAAACACGGACCAAGGAGUCUAACAUCUAUGCGAGUGUUCGGGUGGAAAACCCU